AUUGAACGCUGGCGGCAUGCCUAACACAUGCAAGUCGAAUGAGUGGCGAACGGGUGAAUAAUGUCUGGGAAACUGCCUGAAGGAGGGGGAUAACUACUGGAAACGGUAGAUAAUACCGCAUACCAUCAGAUGUGGCCACAUGGGAUUAGCGUGUUGGGGGGGUAAAGGCUCACCAAGGCGCAGAUCCCUAGCUGGUCUGAGAGGAAGACGAGGCACACGGGAACAGAGACACGGUCCAGACUCCUACGGGAGGCAGCAGUGGGGAAUAUUUCACAAGGGGCGCAAGCCUGAUGCAGCCAUGCCGCGUGUAUGAAGAAGGCUUUCGGGUUGUAAAGUACUUUCAUCGGGGAGGCGUUACCCGCAGAGGAAGCACCGGCUAACUCCGUGCCAGCAGCAGCGGUAAUUC
rnacentral:rRNA from 1 species